UACGUAGGUGGCAAGCGUUGUCCGGAUUUACUGGGCGUAAAGGAUGCGUAGGCGGACAUUUAAGUCAGAUGUGAAAUACCCCGAGCUUAACUUGGGUGCUGCAUUUGAAACUGGGUGUCUAGAGUGCAGGAGAGGUAAGUGGAAUUCCUAGUGUAGCGGUGAAAUGCGUAGAGAUUAGGAAGAACACCAGUGGCGAAGGCGACUUACUGGACACAUAUUGACGCUGAGGUGCGAAAGCGUGGGGAGCAAACAGG
rnacentral:rRNA from 1 species